GACGAACGCUGGCGGCGUGCUUAACACAUGCAAGUCGAACGGAAAGGCCCUGCUUUUGUGGGGUGCCCGAGUGGCGAACGGGUGAGUAACACGUGAGUAACCUGCCCUUGACUUUGGGAUAACUUCAGGAAACUGGGGCUAAUACCGGAUAGGAGCUCCUGCUGCAUGGUGGGGGUUGGAAAGUUUCGGCGGUUGGGGAUGGACUCGCGGCUUAUCAGCUUGUUGGUGGGGUAGUGGCUUACCAAGGCUUUGACGGGUAGCCGGCCUGAGAGGGUGACCGGCCACAUUGGGACUGAGAUACGGCCCAGACUCCUACGGGAGGCAGCAGUGGGGAAUAUUGCACAAUGGGCGGAAGCCUGAUGCAGCAACGCCGCGUGCGGGAUGACGGCCUUCGGGUUGGAAACCGCUUUCGCCUGUGACGAAGCGUGAGUGACGGUAAUGGGUAAAGAAGCACCGGCUAACUACGU
rnacentral:rRNA from 1 species